rnacentral:rRNA from 1 species
CUGUGAGCUCGAUGAGUAGGGCGGGACACGUGGUAUCCUGUCUGAAUAUGGGGGGACCAUCCUCCAAGGCUAAAUACUCCUGACUGACCGAUAGUGAACCAGUACCGUGAGGGAAAGGCGAAAAGAACCCCGGCGAGGGGAGUGAAAAAGAACCUGAAACCGUGUACGUACAAGCAGUGGGAGCACCCUUUUGGGUGUGACUGCGUACCUUUUGUAUAAUGGGUCAGCGACUUAUAUUCUGUAGCAAGGUUAACCGAAUAGGGGAGCCGAAGGGAAACCGAGUCUUAACUGGGCGUUAAGUUGCAGGGUAUAGACCCGAAACCCGGUGAUCUAGCCAUGGGCAGGUUGAAGGUUGGGUAACACUAACUGGAGGACCGAACCGACUAAUGUUGAAAAAUUAGCGGAUGACUUGUGGCUGGGGGUGAAAGGCCAAUCAAACCGGGAGAUAGCUGGUUCUCCCCGAAAGCUAUUUAGGUAGCGCCUCGUGAAUUCAUCUCCGGGGGUAGAGCACUGUUUCGGCAAGGGGGUCAUCCCGACUUACCAACCCGAUGCAAACUGCGAAUACCGGAGAAUGUUAUCACGGGAGACACACGGCGGGUGCUAACGUCCGUCGUGAAGAGGGAAACAACCCAGACCGCCAGCUAAGGUCCCAAAGUCAUGGUUAAGUGGGAAACGAUGUGGGAAGGCCCAGACAGCCAGGAUGUUGGCUUAGAAGCAGCCAUCAUUUAAAGAAAGCGUAAUAGCUCACUGGUCGAGUCGGCCUGCGCGGAAGAUGUAACGGGGCUAAACCAUGCACCGAAGCUGCGGCAGCGACGCUUAUGCGUUGUUGGGUAGGGGAGCGUUCUGUAAGCCUGUGAAGGUGUACUGUGAGGUAUGCUGGAGGUAUCAGAAGUGCGAAUGCUGACAUAAGUAACGAUAAAGCGGGUGAAAAGCCCGCUCGCCGGAAGACCAAGGGUUCCUGUCCAACGUUAAUCGGGGCAGGGUGAGUCGACCCCUAAGGCGAGGCCGAAAGGCGUAGUCGAUGGGAAACAGGUUAAUAUUCCUGUACUUGGUGUUACUGCGAAGGGGGGACGGAGAAGGCUAUGUUGGCCGGGCGACGGUUGUCCCGGUUUAAGCGUGUAGGCUGGUUUUCCAGGCAAAUCCGGAAAAUCAAGGCUGAGGCGUGAUGACGAGGCACUACGGUGCUGAAGCAACAAAUGCCCUGCUUCCAGGAAAAGCCUCUAAGCAUCAGGUAACAUCAAAUCGUACCCCAAACCGACACAGGUGGUCAGGUAGAGAAUACCAAGGCGCUUGAGAGAACUCGGGUGAAGGAACUAGGCAAAAUGGUGCCGUAACUUCGGGAGAAGGCACGCUGAUAUGUAGGUGAAGCGACUUGCUCGUGGAGCUGAAAUCAGUCGAAGAUACCAGCUGGCUGCAACUGUUUAUUAAAAACACAGCACUGUGCAAACACGAAAGUGGACGUAUACGGUGUGACGCCUGCCCGGUGCCGGAAGGUUAAUUGAUGGGGUUAGCGGUAACGCGAAGCUCUUGAUCGAAGCCCCGGUAAACGGCGGCCGUAACUAUAACGGUCCUAAGGUAGCGAAAUUCCUUGUCGGGUAAGUUCCGACCUGCACGAAUGGCGUAAUGAUGGCCAGGCUGUCUCCACCCGAGACUCAGUGAAAUUGAACUCGCUGUGAAGAUGCAGUGUACCCGCGGCAAGACGGAAAGACCCCGUGAACCUUUACUAUAGCUUGACACUGAACAUUGAGCCUUGAUGUGUAGGAUAGGUGGGAGGCUUUGAAGUGUGGACGCCAGUCUGCAUGGAGCCGACCUUGAAAUACCACCCUUUAAUGUUUGAUGUUCUAACGUUGGCCCCUGAUCGGGGUUGCGGACAGUGUCUGGUGGGUAGUUUGACUGGGGCGGUCUCCUCCUAAAGAGUAACGGAGGAGCACGAAGGUUGGCUAAUCCUGGUCGGACAUCAGGAGGUUAGUGCAAUGGCAUAAGCCAGCUUGACUGCGAGCGUGACGGCGCGAGCAGGUGCGAAAGCAGGUCAUAGUGAUCCGGUGGUUCUGAAUGGAAGGGCCAUCGCUCAACGGAUAAAAGGUACUCCGGGGAUAACAGGCUGAUACCGCCCAAGAGUUCAUAUCGACGGCGGUGUUUGGCACCUCGAUGUCGGCUCAUCACAUCCUGGGGCUGAAGUAGGUCCCAAGGGUAUGGCUGUUCGCCAUUUAAAGUGGUACGCGAGCUGGGUUUAGAACGUCGUGAGACAGUUCGGUCCCUAUCUGCCGUGGGCGCUGGAGAACUGAGGGGGGCUGCUCCUAGUACGAGAGGACCGGAGUGGACGCAUCACUGGUGUUCGGGUUGUCAUGCCAAUGGCACUGCCCGGUAGCUAAAUGCGGAAGAGAUAAGUGCUGAAAGCAUCUAAGCACGAAACUUGCCCCGAGAUGAGUUCUCCCUGAGACUUUAAGUCUCCUGAAGGAACGUUGAAGACGACGACGUUGAUAGGCCGGGUGUGUAAGCGCAGCGAUGCGUUGAGCUAACCGGUACUAAUGAACCGUGAGGCUUAACCUU